rnacentral:rRNA from 1 species
AACGCUGGCGGCGGCCUAAACAUGCAAGUCGAGCGGGCAUCGCAAGAUGUCAGCGGCAGACGGGAGAGUAACACGUGGGAACAUGCCCUUCGGUUCGGAAUAACUCAGGGAAACUUGAGCUAAUACCGGAUACGUCCGUAAGGAGAAAGAUUUAUCGCCGAAGGAUUGGCCCGCGUCCGAUUAGCUAGUUGGUGAGGUAACGGCUCACCAAGGCGACGAUCGGUAGCUGGUCUGAGAGGAUGAUCAGCCUCACUGGGACUGAGACACGGCCCAGACUCCUACGGGAGGCAGCAGUGGGGAAUAUUGGACAAUGGGCGCAAGCCUGAUCCAGCCAUGCCGCGUGGGUGAUGAAGGCCCUAGGGUUGUAAAGCCCUUUCGGCGGGGAAGAUAAUGACGGUACCCGCAGAAGAAGCCCCGGCUAACUUCGUGCCAGCAGC